UACGUAGGGUGCGAGCGUUAAUCGGAAUUACUGGGCGUAAAGCGUGCGCAGGCGGCGCGUUAAGACAGGUGUGAAAGCCCCUAGCUUAACUUGGGAAUUGCGCUUGUGACUGGCGUGCUGGAGUGUGGCAGAGGGAGGUGGAAUUCCACGUGUAGCAGUGAAAUGCGUAGAGAUGUGGAGGAACACCGAUGGCGAAGGCAGCCUCCUGGGCCAGCACUGACGCUCAUGCACGAAAGCGUGGGGAGCAAACAGG
rnacentral:rRNA from 1 species